ACCAUAUACCAUGUCUUAUCAGUGGUCCCUGUCUCCCUUCUUGUACAAUCCAGAGGAAUAUUUUUAUCAACUAUUUUGUAAAUGCAAGUUUUUUAGUAGCUCUAGAAACAUUUUUAAGAAGGAGGGAAUCCCACCUCAUCCCACUUUUUAAGUGUAAAUGCUUUUUUUAAGAGGUGAAAUCAUUUGCUGGUUGUUUAUUUUUUGGUACAACCAGAAAAUAGUGUGGGAUAUUGAAUUAUGGGAGGCUCUGACUGUCUCGGGUGUCAGCUUAACAUUCCA
rnacentral:lncRNA from 1 species